rnacentral:misc_RNA from 1 species
ACCUGCCAGCCAUGUUGGCCAUAUUCGGCUGAGAACUGAAACCGUGCUGGUGUUCUCCGACCGCUGUCACUCUACGUCCAACGUCAAAGGAGGUUUGACAUACACAUAAAGAGCACUGUGGCUGGAAAAAGAUUAAAGAACUCCCUGAAAGUCUUCUCGUGUUUCUUGUGAAUUAGUUUGUUCUCAUUGUGCAAUCCUAUCUGUUGGCCGCCAUAGUGGGAGAAGUUGACGACUGGUCCGAGUUCGUUUGUACGUUCAAGCUCGACCGUCGAAAACAGUAUCGAAAAUGUCGGGCAAUCAGGGAAUGGAAUCCCUUAUUCCGCUCGUGAAUAAACUGCAAGAUGCCUUCACAUCAUUGGGGGUUCAGAUGUCCCUUGAUUUACCUCAAAUUGCUGUUGUGGGUGGUCAAAGUGCAGGAAAAAGCUCUGUGUUGGAGAAUUUUGUUGGCAGAGAUUUCUUACCUCGAGGUUCUGGCAUAGUCACUCGUCGUCCCCUUAUUUUGCAGCUGAUCAACUCUCCCCAAGAGUAUGGAGAAUUUCUGCACUGCAAAGGGAGGAUAUUCUCUGAUUUCGAUGAAAUUCGAAAAGAGAUUGAAGCAGACACUGACCGAUUAACUGGUACCAAUAAAGGAAUUUCCAACUUGCCCAUCAAUUUGAGAGUGUACUCACCUCAUGUUCUUAAUUUGACCCUGAUUGAUUUGCCUGGCUUAACGAAAAUUGCUGUCGGUGACCAACCACCUGAUAUUGAAAUGCAGAUCCGUAGCAUGAUUCUGACCUUUAUCAGUAAAUCUAGUUGUCUCGUUUUGGCCGUUACCCCUGCCAACAUUGAUUUGGCCAAUUCGGAUGCUUUGAAAUUGGCAAAGGAAGUCGAUCCUGCAGGUUUACGAACCAUUGGUGUAAUCACCAAGUUGGAUUUGAUGGACGAAGGAACGGAUGCUCGUGACAUCUUGGAGAACAAGCUGCUGCCUUUACGGCGCGGUUAUGUCGGUGUAGUCAACCGCAGCCAAAAGGAUAUCGAUGGACGCAAAGACAUCAAAGUGGCUGUGGCGGCUGAACGCAAAUUCUUCCUUGGCCAUCCAUCUUAUCGCCAUAUGGCCGAGAGAAUGGGAACCCCCUACCUGCAACGCGUUCUCAAUCAGCAACUCACCAACCAUAUUCGUGAAACUUUGCCGGGAUUAAGAGAUCGUCUCCAGAAACAAUUGCUGAGCAUGGAGAAGGAAGUGGAGCAGUUCAAAAAUUUUCGGCCAGAUGAUCCCAGCAUCAAAACCAAAGCUAUGCUUCAGAUGAUCCAGCGGCUACAGUCGGAUUUCGAGCGAGCUAUCGAAGGUUCCGGUACGGCUAACAUUAACACGGAGGAAUUAUCUGGUGGUGCCAAGAUCAGCCGCUUGUUCCACGAGCGUUUCCCCUAUGAAAUUGUCAUGAUGAAGUAUGACGAGAAGAAAUUGCGUCGUGAAAUCGCGUUGGCCAUUCGCAACAUUCACGGUAUUCGCGUUGGCCUCUUCACGCCCGACCUCGCCUUUGAGUCCAUCGUUAAGAAGCAGAUUUCCCUACUCAAAGAACCUUCCCUCAAGUGUAUCGAUUUGGUCGUCACCGAGCUGACGAACGUCGUCCGCUUCUGCACCGCAGAGAUGAACCGUUAUCCUCGACUGCGUGAGGAAGCCGAGCGUAUCAUCACCACACAAAUUCGCGAAUGCGAGCAACGAUGCAAGGACCAGAUCAGCUUCCUCAACGAUUGCGAGCUGGCCUACAUGAACACCAACCACGAGGACUUUAUUGGAUUCGCCAAAGCGGAGAACAACUCCAUGACACGCGCCCAGCAGUCUUCUGAGAAUGCCAGCAAUACCGGACGAAAGCUGGGCAAUCAAGUCAUCCGCAAAGGCUACAUGUCCAUCUCCAAUUUGGGGAUCAUGAAAGGCGGCUCACGGGAUUACUGGUUCGUUUUGAGCUCGGAGACCCUGUCGUGGUACAAGGACGACGAGGAAAAAGAUAAAAAGUACAUGCUGAACUUGGAUGGUUUGAAGCUGCGUGAUAUUGAGCAAGGAUUCAUGUCUCGUCGUCAUGCCAUCGGUCUGUUCAAUAAAGACGGUCGUAACGUGUACAAGGAUUACAAACAGCUAGAAGUGAGUUGCGAGACCCAAGACGAUGUCGAAACCUGGAAGGCGUCGUUCUUGCGUGCAGGUGUCUACCCUGAAAAACUAUCUGAUACCACCAACGGUGAAGAAACUGGAGAUCGUGAGAAUUCCGUAUCGAUGGACCCCCAACUCGAGCGACAGGUUGAAACUAUUCGCAAUUUGGUUGAUUCGUAUAUGAAAAUCGCCACCAAGACGACGAGAGAUUUGGUGCCUAAGACGAUCAUGCACUUGAUGAUCAACCACACCAAGAAUUUCAUUAUGACUGAGUUGCUGGCCAACCUUUACGCUACGGGUGACACGAAUAAUAUGAUGGAAGAGAGCGCAGAAGAGGCCGUUAAACGGGAGGAGAUGCUUCGAAUUUACCAUGCCUGUAAAGAGGCCCUGAAGAUUAUCGGUGACGUGUCGAUGGCCACCGUUUCGACGCCCGUUCCACCACCCGUGAGGGGUGGCAACGACGACUACUUUAGGUCUGGACCUGAUAAUUCCAGUAUUGGCCAGCGAGUAUCGCCUCCGUCUCCAGGCGGUCCUAAUCGUCGCCCAAUGAGCGGUGUUGCUUCGGCUCCUGCUCCUGGACCGACUUCUUCAGUCAGCCGAGCUCCACCAGCUCCUCCUGCAGCUGGUCGUCCUGCACCGGCCGUGCCCAAUCGACCAGGAGAUGCGACAGGCAGAGCCCCACCGGCCCCACCUUCACGCCCCGGAGCAGGAACUGGCCUCCCUCCGCCACUAGUGCCAACGCGAGGAGUAGGAGGAGGAUCCCAGCAGCCCGGCAUCGUCAUACCGCAGCGCGUCCAGCAAGCCGUAGUCAACGCCGCCGUGAAUGAAAUGGUCGGCGCCGUUGGAAAGCAGUUUAAAUUUAACUAAAUAAUUUAAAAAGAAUCUCUUUCACACACAAAAACGAAUCUUUCUUGUUAUUACCUCACCUCCCUACCUACCACAAACUACUGAAACAUUCCGUUAUUAUUUCAUCUCUUCUUCCGGAAAUCGCUGCCUCCCCCACACACGUUUGCUCUUGUGUUUUCUACCUGUCUUUAUAGAAAAGAAAAUGUUCACCACAUAACUGUAGUCGAAUAGCACUACGUCGUUGUGUCGUUAUUGUUGUUCACCAAUCGCGUCGCUUUCUAUCCAGUGGCCUGUUAGGAAAAUCAUUGGGACAAAACGCGGACUUUUACCCCGAGCCCUUAAAAAAAUAAGAGAAUCUUUUUAGCUACAGGCCAUGUUUAUCCCUCCUUGUUAAAGAAGAAAAACACAAAACCUUUACCUUCUUUCGAAAAAAAAAAAACCCUAAUAAUAAUUUGAUGUGGUUUAAGCUAAAUUGAUUAGUUUUUGCUUGGGAUACGAUUCCGUUGAAGAAGAAAAAAGUUGUUUGUUACUUAGAUCAUCUUUCCCUCUUUCCUUGGCUCUUGGUUUCUUUUUAAAGCACUUGCCAGUUUGUUUAUUGCGUCAUUUUCCUUAAUGAUAUACAUACAAGAAAAUUAUGUCCAUUUAUCCACAUUGAUGUUUGUCUUUGGAAAUGUUUUUUUUUUUUUUCCUUGUGCCGACACGCUACACUAAAAACUGUUCGUAGUCCAGUUGAAUAGUACACGGAAGUGUGUGUUACAGUAUCAGAUUGAUGUUCAGUACUGGAAAGUUUUAAAACAAAAAGGGCUAGCUAAUAGAACAGAGUUACGACGCCUACCCCAAUCAUCACCGCCACUACACCCAUUCCUGUUCCCCCGAAAACUUUUGUACAGUAGUGUUAGUCUUUUUAUUAUUUUUAUUAUUUUAAAAUCGGAUGAAUUGAUUCUCUUCAUUUUUACAGAAGGAAAACGAAAAAUUGAAAGCAAUUCCGACUUUGGUUUCCUUGUUUCCAGAAUCUCUUUUUCUGUUCUUUUUUUUUCUCUAUACAUAUUAUAGGAGGGGGGGGGGGAUUGUGUAAGUGUUGUGUGCGCGUGUUUUUGAGAUGCUUGCCCACCCACAAAAACAAACAAGAACAAACAUUGUGUUUUCCUCCCAAUUUACCAUCAUCGUUUCCAUUUAACCUGAAUCUCUCCCCGAGCUAAACUCUUGAAUCCAUUUACAGAAUACAAUUUGUUGAAAGUUCA